rnacentral:rRNA from 1 species
GACGAACGCUGGCGGCGUGCUUAACACAUGCCAGUCGAACGGAAAGGCUCCAGCUUGCUGGAGUACUCGAGUGGCGAACGGGUGAGUAACACGUGGGUAAUCUGCCCUGCACUCUGGGAUAAGCCUGGGAAACUGGGUCUAAUACUGGAUAUGACCUUUCUCCUUAUGGGGUUUGGUGGAAAGUUUUUCGGUGUAGGAUGAGCCCGCGGCCUAUCAGCUUGUUGGUGGGGUGAUGGCUUACCAAGGCGACGACGGGUAGCCGGCCUGAGAGGGUGAUCGGCCACAUUGGGACUGAGAUACGGCCCAGACUCCUACGGGAGGCAGCAGUGGGGAAUAUUGCACAAUGGGCGGAAGCCUGAUGCAGCGACGCCGCGUGAGGGAUGACGGCCUUCGGGUUGUAAACCUCUUUCAGCAGGGACGAAGCGUAAGUGACGGUACCUGCAGAAGAAGCACCGGCUAACUAUGUG